GGGUUGUGAGGUUAAGCGACUAAGCGUACACGGUGGAUGCCCUGGCAGUCAGAGGCGAUGAAGGACGUGCUAAUCUGCGAAAAGCGUCGGUAAGGUGAUAUGAACCGUUAUAACCGGCGAUGUCCGAAUGGGGAAACCCAGUGUGAUUCGUCACACUAUCGUUAACUGAAUACAUAGGUUAACGAGGCGAACCGGGGGAACUGAAACAUCUAAGUACCCCGAGGAAAAGAAAUCAACCGAGAUUCCCCCAGUAGCGGCGAGCGAACGGGGAGCAGCCCAGAGUCUGAAUCAGCUUGUGUGUUAGUGGAACGGUCUGGAAAGUCCGACGGUACAGGGUGAUAGUCCCGUACACCAAAAUGCACAGGCUGUGAACUCGAAGAGUAGGGCGGGACACGUGGUAUCCUGUCUGAAUAUGGGGGGACCAUCCUCCAAGGCUAAAUACUCCUGACUGACCGAUAGUGAACCAGUACCGUGAGGGAAAGGCGAAAAGAACCCCGGCGAGGGGAGUGAAAAAGAACCUGAAACCGUGUACGUACAAGCAGUGGGAGCACCUUCGGGUGUGACUGCGUACCUUUUGUAUAAUGGGUCAGCGACUUAUAUUCUGUAGCAAGGUUAACCGUAUAGGGGAGCCGCAGGGAAACCGAGUCUUAACUGGGCGUUAAGUUGCAGGGUAUAGACCCGAAACCCGGUGAUCUAGCCAUGGGCAGGUUGAAGGUUGGGUAACACUAACUGGAGGACCGAACCGACUAAUGUUGAAAAAUUAGCGGAUGACUUGUGGCUGGGGGUGAAAGGCCAAUCAAACCGGGAGAUAGCUGGUUCUCCCCGAAAGCUAUUUAGGUAGCGCCUCGUGAACUCAUCUUCGGGGGUAGAGCACUGUUUCGGCUAGGGGGUCAUCCCGACUUACCAACCCGAUGCAAACUACGAAUACCGAAGAAUGUUAUCACGGGAGACACACGGCGGGUGCUAACGUCCGUCGUGAAGAGGGAAACAACCCAGACCGCCAGCUAAGGUCCCAAAGUCAUGGUUAAGUGGGAAACGAUGUGGGAAGGCACAGACAGCCAGGAUGUUGGCUUAGAAGCAGCCAUCAUUUAAAGAAAGCGUAAUAGCUCACUGGUCGAGUCGGCCUGCGCGGAAGAUGUAACGGGGCUAAACCAUGCACCGAAGCUGCGGCAGCGACACUAUGUGUUGUUGGGUAGGGGAGCGUUCUGUAAGCCUGCGAAGGUGUGCUGUGAGGCAUGCUGGAGGUAUCAGAAGUGCGAAUGCUGACAUAAGUAACGAUAAAGCGGGUGAAAAGCCCGCUCGCCGGAAGACCAAGGGUUCCUGUCCAACGUUAAUCGGGGCAGGGUGAGUCGACCCCUAAGGCGAGGCCGAAAGGCGUAGUCGAUGGGAAACAGGUUAAUAUUCCUGUACUUGGUGUUACUGCGAAGGGGGGACGGAGAAGGCUAUGUUAGCCGGGCGACGGUUGUCCCGGUUUAAGCAUGUAGGCUGGUUAUCCAGGCAAAUCCGGAUAAUCAAGGCUGAGGUGUGAUGACGAGGCACUACGGUGCUGAAGUAACAAAUGCCCUGCUUCCAGGAAAAGCCUCUAAGCAUCAGGUAACAUCAAAUCGUACCCCAAACCGACACAGGUGGUCAGGUAGAGAAUACCAAGGCGCUUGAGAGAACUCGGGUGAAGGAACUAGGCAAAAUGGUGCCGUAACUUCGGGAGAAGGCACGCUGGUGUGUAGGUGAAGUCCCUGCGGAUGGAGCUGAGACCAGUCGAAGAUACCAGCUGGCUGCAACUGUUUAUUAAAAACACAGCACUGUGCAAACACGAAAGUGGACGUAUACGGUGUGACGCCUGCCCGGUGCCGGAAGGUUAAUUGAUGGGGUUAUCCGUAAGGAGAAGCUCUUGAUCGAAGCCCCGGUAAACGGCGGCCGUAACUAUAACGGUCCUAAGGUAGCGAAAUUCCUUGUCGGGUAAGUUCCGACCUGCACGAAUGGCGUAAUGAUGGCCAGGCUGUCUCCACCCGAGACUCAGUGAAAUUGAACUCGCUGUGAAGAUGCAGUGUACCCGCGGCAAGACGGAAAGACCCCGUGAACCUUUACUAUAGCUUGACACUGAACAUUGAGCCUUGAUGUGUAGGAUAGGUGGGAGGCUUUGAAGCGUGGACGCCAGUCUGCGUGGAGCCAACCUUGAAAUACCACCCUUUAAUGUUUGAUGUUCUAACGUUGGCCCCUGACCGGGGUUGCGGACAGUGUCUGGUGGGUAGUUUGACUGGGGCGGUCUCCUCCCAAAGCGUAACGGAGGAGCACGAAGGUUAGCUAAUCCUGGUCGGACAUCAGGAGGUUAGUGCAAUGGCAUAAGCUAGCUUGACUGCGAGCGUGACGGCGCGAGCAGGUGCGAAAGCAGGUCAUAGUGAUCCGGUGGUUCUGAAUGGAAGGGCCAUCGCUCAACGGAUAAAAGGUACUCCGGGGAUAACAGGCUGAUACCGCCCAAGAGUUCAUAUCGACGGCGGUGUUUGGCACCUCGAUGUCGGCUCAUCACAUCCUGGGGCUGAAGUAGGUCCCAAGGGUAUGGCUGUUCGCCAUUUAAAGUGGUACGCGAGCUGGGUUUAGAACGUCGUGAGACAGUUCGGUCCCUAUCUGCCGUGGGCGCUGGAGAAUUGAGGGGGGCUGCUCCUAGUACGAGAGGACCGGAGUGGACGCAUCACUGGUGUUCGGGUUGUCAUGCCAAUGGCACUGCCCGGUAGCUAAAUGCGGAAGAGAUAAGUGCUGAAAGCAUCUAAGCACGAAACUUGCCCCGAGAUGAGUUCUCCCUGAGACUUUAAGUCUCCUGAAGGAACGUUAAAGACGAUGACGUUGAUAGGCCGGGUGUGUAAGCGCAGCGAUGCGUUGAGCUAACCGGUACUAAUGAACCGUGAGGCUUAACCUUACAACGCCGAAG
rnacentral:rRNA from 5 species